UCUUUCCUUCAGCACUCGAUGAUGAGAUAGU
rnacentral:piRNA from 1 species